rnacentral:rRNA from 1 species
GAUGAACGCUGGCGGCGUGCCUAAUACAUGCAAGUCGAGCGAACGGACGAGAAGCUUGCUUCUCUGAUGUUAGCGGCGGACGGGUGAGCAACACGUGGAUAACCUACCUAUAAGACUGGGAUAACUUCGGGAAACCGGAGCUAAUACCGGAUAAUAUUUUGAACCGCAUGGUUCAAAAGUGAAAGACGGUCUUGCUGUCACUUAUAGAUGGAUCCGCGCUGCAUUAGCUAGUUGGUAAGGUAACGGCUUACCAAGGCAACGAUGCAUAGCCGACCUGAGAGGGUGGUCGGCCACACUGGAACUGAGACACGGUCCAGACUCCUACGGGAGGCAGCAGUAGGGAAUCUUCCGCAAUGGGCGAAAGCCUGACGGAGCAACGCCGCGUGAGUGAUGAAGGUCUUCGGAUCGUAAAACUCUGUUAUUAGGGAAGAACAUAUGUGUAAGUAACUGUGCACAUCUUGACGGUACCUAACCAGAAAGCCACGGCUAACUACGUG